rnacentral:rRNA from 1 species
UACGUAGGGGGCAAGCGUUGUCCGGAUUUAUUGGGCGUAAAGAGCGUGUAGGCGGCCAGGUAGGUCCGUUGUGAAAACUCGAGGCUCAACCUCGAGACGUCGGCGGAACCCUCGUGGACUAGAGUCCGGAAGAGGAGAAUGGAAUUCCCGGUGUAGCAGUGAAAUGCGCAGAUAUCGGGAAGAACACCCGUGGCGAAGGCGGCUCUCUGGGACGGUACUGGACGCUGAGACGCGAAAGCGUGGGGAG